CGUAAGUUGAAGUCCUAAACUCCAGUACUCCAGACUAUGACUGUAUUUGGAGGUUGGGUCCUGAAAGAGGUCAUUUAGGUAAAAUGAGCUCAUCUGGGUGGGCCCUAAUCCAGUUUGACAGGUGUCCUUAAAAGAGGAGGAUGUUAGGACACAGACAUACCCAGAGGGAAGACCAUGUGAGGACACGAGGAAAAUAUGCCAUCUAUGAGCCAAGGAGAGGGAAACCAAUCCUGCCAACACCUUGAUUGUGGACUGCCAGCCCCCAGAGCUGCAAGACAGAGAAUACAUUGGAGUGGAAUUGCUGGCCAUUUAUUUUGCUCAUGAUCUUGACUUAGACAUGACUCAGUGAAGCAGCACAUCUCUGAUCCAUGGAAUGACAACUGAGAUAUCUUGAAAGAUGGAAGGUCUUGUUAUCCAGAGGCUGAAAUUACUGGGAGAUUCACUCACUUCCUGUCUAGUGGUUGAGGUCGACGGGUGACCACCAUCCUAGCUAUGGUGUCAUCCAGAGCGCAUACAUGUGGUCUCUCUUUGAGGAUGCCUGGCUUCCUCACAGCAUGGCAGCUGGAUUCUAAGAGCAAAUAUUCCAAGAAAAUAAAGCAGAAGUGCACAACAUCUAUCAAGACCUACUCAGAGGUCACAUAGUGUCAUUUCUGCCAUACCCUAUUGGUUGGGGAAGCCACAAAAUUUCACCUAGAUUUAAGCCCAGGUGCUAUGGCCUGAAUGUUUGUGUUCCCUCAAAAUUCCUAUGUUGAGAUCCUAAGCCUUAAGGUAAUAGUAUUAGAAGAUGGAGUCUUUGGGGGACACUUAGGACAUGAGUGAAGAGCCUUCAUGAUUGGGAUGAUGCCUUUAUAAAAGAGACCCCAGCGAGCUUGCUUGCCCCUUCCAUCGUGUGAAGAUGCAACUAGAAGGCACCAUCUAUGAAGAAGAGGACCCUCACCAGACAUUGAAACUGCUGACACCUCCAUCCUGGACUUCUCAGCCUCCAGAACUGUAAACAAUGUAUUUCUGUUGUUUAGAAGUGACCCAGUCUAAAGUAUUUUGUUGUAGCAGUCCAAACAGACUAAACAGGGGGCUAGGAUGUAGCUCCUACCAUUCUCAAUUGUAAUAUUUUCAGCAUCACAUUUUAAGAAUAAUAUGUGAAAUACAAUAUGUUUUAUUAGUCACCUUUGGAAAAUACAGUCUUCCACAAUCUGGAACCACCUCUUUGGUUCAAAAUGUGCCAUUCUUCUGUAAUGUGUGUGAUAAACUUAAAAAAAAUCUGUAUCCUUUAUCCUAAUCAUCUUACUUGAACAUCAUCCUGAAACAAAUGACAAAAACAUUCACAGUUUUAUAUACAAAGUUAUUGGUAACAAUGUUCUUAAUAGAAUUCAAUUAGAAAACAUAUAAAGGCAAAGGUAGAGUUAUUUGAUGUUAUGGUUUGAAAGGAUUCCCACACUCUCAUGAAUAUUCUUUAUUAUGCCAGAGGGACCCUAAUUCCCCUGCCUUUGAGUGUGGGAUGGCAUUGAUGAGUUACUUGUACCACAUAUAAUAAGCAGGAAGUGAUGGCACGUGACAUUGGAAACAACUUCGUAAAAGUCACCGAGACUCACUCCUUGCUUUCUCCUAUGUCUCCCACCUGGCAGGAAGCCAUUUGCCAUCAUGUAAGGCGAGUUCUUCUUAGUGAGGCAUUGACAUCUCCAGCCAGCAGUGCCGUGAGGGAGGUGGGCAGCUCAAGCCUCAGUCAAACCCUGAGAUGACCAUGGUCCCACUCAACAUCUCAGCUGUGACCAUGUGGGAGAAUCCAAGCCUGAGCCAAUCAGCCUAGCUGCUCCCAGAGUCCUGACUCUCAGAAACCAUGCCAGAUUAUACAUAUCUGCAGCUUUAAGCUUCUGAGAUUUUGGAAUGACUGAUGACAGAGCAAUAAAUAACUAAUACAUUUCACCACAUAUCACUUAGCAGAAUGCCAUGGAGCUAUUAAACACAAUAUUUUAUGAAGAUUAGUCUAUGAUAUGGAGAUAUACUCACAAUGUUAUUAGCAACACAACUAGACCAACUGAGUAUAGGUAGUAUAAUCUCAAUUUGUUCUAAAAAUAUAAAUCUGUACAAAGAUAGAAAGACCAGAAGAAAAAAACCAUUUAAUACUUGAUAGAUAAUUACAAUGGUAAAGAAUUUAGCCUUGAUCACUUGAUUUGAGAUGGAAUCUAACUUGCUAGCUGUAUACCCAUAGUUGUGGAUGUGUAACCAAUGAUUUGUAAACUAAUUCUCAGUUUACUCGUCUAUAUAAAAGAGCUAGUAAUAUUACCUAUUUCAUGCGGCUUGGGAGAAAUGAAUCAAUAAUAUAUAGAAGGGCUUAGUUCUCAUAUUGUGGCAAGUACUUCACAAAUGAUAAUUUUUACUAUUACAAUUUUUAUAAGGCUUUCUGUAAUUCACAAAUUUUCUAAUAUCUAUUUUAUGACUUUUGAAAUAAUUCUUACAAUAUCCCUUUUAGUAACCUUUAUUACAAAAUCUAUUGUAAUCUCUUAAAAUAAUAUUCCUUUUUGUUUUUCUCCGAGAUAGUCUAUCUAAUGAUGUUACAAUAGAGUUACCAACAAAUGCCAUAUUUCAUUCCUGAGCGUCUAUAUUCUUGAGUUCCUAGCAACAGAGAACAAAGUAGCAACCAUUUCUUAAGAAAAUGCUGAGAUGGACACCAGAGUUUCAAGCAAUUUUCAUCCAGAAGGUCACAUGUUAGGAGUAAAAGCUAUAUGGAAUCUUGAACAAGCAUAGCAUCUAAUAGCCUUAUUUGAUUAAAAAAAUGAAUACACACAAAAAUUUUUUGAAGACUAACUACCCCUUAGAAAUGUUCGUUAACUUGGUCAGUAAUAUAAGCCUACCUCCCAUUUAUUCAAUAGAUCAGGUAACUCCCCUCUUUGUUAUGAGCCUAGUUUUCUAGAGGUGGACCAGAUUCCAUCAUAUGUACAUCACUCAGCUAGUUGAGCUCUCUAAAUGAAAACUUCAGCCGUAGCCACUGGAUAGAAGAAUACAAGAAGGAAUGCCGACUUGAGGAGCAAGUUGUGUUGAGUUCAGGCAUUGCUUUGGAGAAUCUGCUUCUUCACCUGCUGGCUUAAAGGGUUGGAUGACCUGAGGCAGCAGCAGAAGUUUAGACAAUUAUGGUUGGAUGAUUCUUAACUGUCCUAAUCCCAAGUCCUCAAUUUAUAAGUGAGGAACUGGAAAAUCAUUCACACAGCUAGCUGCAAGCAAUGACAGCCUUGGAGAGAAAUCAACCUGUGUACAGCUCAGUCCCAUCUGAGUUCUUUGGAGAACAAACUCCAGCAGCUACUUCUAGAAAAUAUAGACAGCAUAUUCAGCCAAUCUCCUGAGCUGGUGGGACAUUUUUACAUGAACAAGGCCUCCCUCCACAUGAAUUGCAAAGAUUCAGUGGACUUUGCAUGAUUAUUCUUCUAAUCUUACAUUAAGCUUUAUUUUGGAUUUUAAAAAAAUCUGCCACGUGUAAGGGCACCAAUGUCCACCAAUAUUGUUAUAUAAAAUAACAUUAUUAAUCCUUCCUGUUUAUCUUUUAAUCAGAACUAAGAGGGAUGGUGGAUGAUGAAUGCAUGAGUCAUACUUACUUCAUGAUUCUAUAAAUCCUAAUUUUCACUUUUUUUAAAUAAAAAUUGCACGCAAACCAAAAAGAAGCUGCCUAAAACAGACGUGGAGAUACUCUACUUAGGUUUCCCAGGGAAAGACAAUUUUAAAAAACAAUUUUAGCAACAAAAAUACAUGGGCAGGGAAUACACGCAUUUAUUAUCAUUUUUCCUCUUAAAGCAGCUAUGAUGAGACACGUCCAAAACACCUGCUCUUGUGUACUGCCCAGUUUCACGUGAGUUCUGUGGGAUAACACUGAAUCCACUCUUCAGCUACAGUGAGGAAGUGAUAGAACUGCUUCUGGCACACCAAAGAACAGCACAGAGGUCCAAAUACAUCUUCCUUAGGUGCCCAUGAAUUUAAAUUUAUUUCUGCUUUAUCCUUUAAAAAAAAAUCUAAUGAUUUCAAAUGCCUUGCUGAAAUCAACACCCUCUGCAACAGCCCUCUCAGGAUAGUUCAUCCUAGUAGGUCUGUCAAAACUGAAACACCAACAUGUGAGUUCCUCCUCUGGGUUUUAAAUGUUAGUACUGUGACUACUUCUUUGUUUGUUUUCACUUUUAAUUGACAAAUAAUAACUGUAUAUGUUAUACAGUAAAUCUGACAUUUUGAUAUAAAAUGAUAACUAGUGACUAUUUAUUGCUGUGAUGUUGUCCCCGCUUGUUUAUUGGCUCUGAUGGAACUUUUCAGGGGAAUGGUUAUAACUGAAAAAUCUGUAAUGCUAGGAAUUUAACUUUUCUACAUAAAAUGCAUUUUUUCUUACUGAUAUUUUAAAGAUUCCUUAUUGUGAUCUGCAUCCUGUCAUAAAUUUCUUUCCAUGGACCAUGCGGUAACUUCCCUAGACAGCUACGUGCUGUCUUAGUAUAUUUUCAUCUACUUUCAAUUUCCUUCUAGUGCUGUUUGUCCUUCUCCUCCCAUGUGAAGUGAAGUUGAACAGGCCUUCAACGUGGUUGGUGUUCAGCCUCCAAACACUGUCUUCCAUGGUAGACGCUGUUAAGCUCUCUGCUCAGCGAGUUUUUCCUUCUGACUCUCGCAUGCACAGCUGAAGGGUCAAUCAAGAUCUGACGAGAGAUAAGCAGAGAUGUUGGUCUUCCUCCUGUUUCUUCCUUUUCCUCAUGCCCUCCCCAUUCCCACCCACAGUGGCUGCCCAAACUCCACCUGCUGACUUCUCAGCUGGUACCAGUGUGGAUUUUGCGUGGGUCUCUCUGACUGUGACAAAGGAACGCGGACUGUCCCUGGAGGAAAUGUUGCACGCAUGUAGAUUUCACUGUGGUUUUCUUCUUUCGAGGGUCAAGCUCCUCUAGUUUAUGCUAAUUUUUAGUAACAGACAAGUGCAUUCAAAAUAUUGCUUAUUAUAUUUUUUACAGUCUAUAACUACUAUUGGCUGGAGAGUUAUUUCAAUACAAGAAAUUCCUUUAUUAUUAGAAGGUAUAUCUUCUUAAUGUUGUUGCUACAAUAUUUCUGCAUUAAAAUGUAGCAAUUUUAUUGCUAUAAGAAGUGUAGUCUAUUGUCACUAUUUAUGGUAGUUAUAGUCUACAAAGUCACCACAGAUGCUGAAUUAGUGAAUACUUAACCAUUGCUCCUAGGGGAAGUACAGAGGUAGGUUCCUGUGGGCCUUCAUUUUUAUCAACCAGUCAACACAUAACUUUGUUUUAUGUGUUUCUGUUUAAAUCUACCGUAUUUAUUAUAUAUUGUUGAUUCAUUAACAUUGAACUCACAGCCAACGGCACUGCAACUCAUGCAGCAUAACUCAACGCACUGUAAGUCACGCCUGAAUGAGGCUUAAGAUGCAUUUUCUCCAUAGGGUGCAUCCCAGCCUUCCUGUGCGUAGGAGCAGCAUUUCAGCAUUAUGCUUGGGGGACAUUUUAAACAGCAAAAUCACCACCAAAAAGCACAAAAGUGUGGCACUGAAUAGACCACAAAAAAGACACUUUUCUACAGUAGGAAAGCUAAAACAACAAGACAUAAUGCCGUUUCAUUCAACCUCAGCUGACAAUGAGCCUUUUGAAUGACUCAAAUGUUUCACUGUCUUACGCGCGCCCAUGAGUGACCAUUGAUUCGGAUAUUGAUUUUGAGGUUAUAACAAAUUUUAGUGAGUUCAAUGUCUUAAAUUUCUUUUUCUCAUCUUAUAUAGCUUCUUUUACUAUGUUUUCAAAUUCAUUUUUUAUGGUAUUUAUUUUUUGUUAAUAGCAUCCAGUGAAAUUUUCUUAUUUCUAUUAAAUUUUUGUUGUAUUCCAGAUGUUGUGAAUUUUAUGAUUUUGAGCUCUGGAUAUUCGCUAUGGCUUGAGAGCAUGGUGGCUUUGGGCAGGCGUAUAAGCAGACACACUAUUUGAGGGUCAGCUUGGUCCUUUGGCAGCUUGGUUUUAUGUAUCUUUCAGGAUAUGUCUGAAGCAGUCUUUAACUCUAGGCUAUUUUGUCUCCACUUUUUUGGGAGAGACUCCUACUGAUUUUCUGAGGACUCUACAAAAAUGCCCUGUGUAGUCAACAAGAUAUCUUCGUACUGGGUGGCAGGAACUCAAAUGAUUCUCCCCACCCUGUGGGGAUUUUUCAGUUCCCAACUACAGGUAAUUGUCUGAAUCUGGCAGUAGUCCUUUUCCCCCGCGUCAUGAAAUGCUCAGCUCUUGCAUGGGCAGAGGAGCAUUCAAAGACCCAAGGGGGACUUUCUCCCUCAACAUGAAUGCAAACCGAGUAUUCCUUAUCCAAAAUAUUUGGAUUUUUAGCAAAACUAGUUUUUCUCAUGCUCUUUAUUAAGUAUGUCAGCAUUUCCCUACUGAUUUGCAGACUUGCCUAUCUUUCCACCUAUGGCCUGCUGUCUCUCUUUAUUUAGUUAGCUUGUUUUCUAUGACUAUUAAUAAUGCUUCAUAUAUUUACCCAUAAAGUUACUGCACUACUAUUGUUAAAUUUAAUCCUUAACGUUGUGCGCUUUGCUGUUUUUUCUAAUUUUUUUUUUUUUUUUUGAGAAGGAGUCUCGCUGUGUAGUCCAGGCUGGAGUGCAGUGGCUCAGUCUCAGCUCACUGCAACCUCCGCCUCCCAGCUUUAAGCAAUUCUCCUGCCUCAGCCCCCCGAGUAGCUGGGAUUACAGGCUCCCACCACCAUGCCCAGAUAGUUUUUGUAUUUUUAGUAGAGAUGGGGUUUCUCCUUGUUGGCCAGGCUGGUCUCGAACUCCUGACCUCAUGAUCUGCCCACCACGGCCUCCCAAAGUGCUGGGAUUAUAGGCAUGAUCCGCCACACCCGGCCGUAAAUGACACUUUCUACAAUUAGGUUUUCUGUUUGUUGAUGGUUUAUUAGAAUGCAAUCCAUUUUUAUAUAUUGAUUUUACAACUAUCAACAUUCUAAUAUUUUUAUUAACUUCAGAAAUUUAGCUCUAGUUUCUCUAGGGCUUUCCAUGCAUACAAACAUAUCGACUGUUCAGGUCCUUAAUAUUUUCUUCUUUAUUCUUACUUCACAGUGCUGUCUUAGACACCCAGAAAAGAACUAAAAACAUAUAGUGAGAGAAAACAUUUUGUUCUUGCCACUUACUUUAAAAAAAUUACUUUAUCUUUCUAUAAUUAAAUAUUGAGUUUGUCAUAAGUUUUUACUUUUUAUUACAAUAAGAAAAAGUUUUGCUCUUUAUAGUUAAAAAAAGCUUUAUUUUGAAUGUUUAUUGUAUUUAAUUAAAUACAUUUACUGUAUGUCUUAAGUUAAUUGUUUUUGAUCUACAUUUUUCAGUCUCAAUAAUGGAUUUUAAAAUGUUUAUCAUCCUUGCAUUCUUGGUAUAAACCCAAUGUGUUUAUGCUAUAUUUUUAAAAAUACCUAACUGGAUUUAGUUUGCUAAGAUAUUUAAUAUUCUUGCUGCUUCUGGUCAAUAGUGAGAUUAGUCUGUAAAAUUCCAUUCUUAUAAUGUUCUUGUCCCUGUUUUAAGCAACUUCAUUCUUAGAUUUCAGAACACGCUGCUAUUUCCGGUCCUUUAAACAAUUUUUUAAAUGUUAGAAUGUCUGUUCUUUAAGUUAUUGUUAGAAUUUUCAUCUGAAACUGUCUGAAUCUGAAUGGCAUUUUGUUUUCAUUUGCUUUAGUUUUGGCGAAUUUUAAAUAUGAAUUCUAUACUUUUAUACAGUUUAUUCUGAUUCUGAUCUUGAGUUACUUUUAGCAUUAUACUAUAGUUCCUCCACCCCAAGACAUUGUUCAUUUCACUUUAUUUUCUAAUUUGUUUUACUACACUUUUCCUUUUAAUUUCUCAUUUUAAAAAACUUCAUAAAUUUAUGGGUUUUUUUAAAAAAAUUACUUUGUCAUUCUUGCUAGAUGUUUUCUAUUUUAUUAUUUUUUUCCCAAAUAAUUAUCUCAUUGGGUUUUUAUCUUUUGUAAAAAAAUGAAUUAUUUGGCCAGGCGCUGUGGCUCACGCUUGUAAUCCCAGCACUUUGGGAGGCCGAGGUGGGUGGAUUGCUUGAGUUCAAGAGUUCGAGACUAGCCUGGGCAACAUAGUGAAACUCUGUCUCUAGAAAAAUUACAAAAUUCCCAGGGGUGGUGGCUCAUGCCUGUAAGUCCCAACUGCUUUUGAGGCUGAGGUGGGAGGAUCCCUUGAGUCCAGGAGGCAGAGGUUGCAGUGAGCUGACAUCACACCACUGCAUUCCAACCUGGACUACAGAGUAAGACCUCAUAUCCAAAAAAAAAAAAAAAAACCCAACAUUGUUUAUUUUAUUAACUUCUGCUUGUUUCUUAUAACUUUCCAAUGCUUUCUUUAUGUUUAUUCAUUUGUUAUUUUUUAACUUCUUGCGUUCAAUAAUAAUACUAAAUAUUUUCUAUCAUUCUUUUUUGCUAAUGUUAGUAUAUUUCUAAAU
rnacentral:lncRNA from 10 species